CCGAGUCACGCACUCAAAUAACCCUUCUGUGGACCUAAAUUAAAACCGUUGCCUCGGCGGGCGGUCCCCUACCCAAAACCCCACGUGGUGCGGGGUAGGGGACCAGACAGUCCGGUACGCUUGAGGCGUCCGGCGCCAGCCGCUGGCCCUAAACAAUUAAACUCUAGUAACCUUACCUUCUGAGUUUUAAUAAAAAAAAUAAGUCA
rnacentral:misc_RNA from 1 species